UGAGUUUGAUCCUGGCUCAGGAUGAACGCUGCGGCGUGCCUAAUACAUGCAAGCCGAGCGAACAGAUAAGGAGCUUGCUCCUUUGACGUUAGCGGCGGACGGGUGAGUAUCACGUGGGUAACCUACCCAUAAGACUGGAAUAACUCCGGGAAACCGGGGCUAAUGCCGGAUAAUAUUUAGAACCGCAUGGUUCUAAAGUGAAAGAUGGCCUUGCUAUCACUUAUGGAUGGACCCGCGCCGUAUUAGCUAGUUGGUAAGGUAACGGCUUACCAAGGCAACGAUACGUAGCCGACCUGAGAGGGUGAUCGGCCACACUGGAACUGAGACACGGUCCAGACUCCUACGGGAGGCAGCAGUAGGGAAUCUUCCGCAAUGGGCGAAAGCCUGCCCAGCAACGCCGCGUGAGUGAUGAAGGUCUUCGAUCGUAAAGCUCUGUUAUUAGGGAAGAACAAAUGCGUAAGUAACUGUGCGCGUCUUGCGGUACCUAUCGGGGAUCUCAAAAGGGUUUAAAAU
rnacentral:rRNA from 1 species